GGAAGUAUGGUUCAGUGGUGGAAUGCCUGCUUAGAAAAGGUGAGGCCCUGAAUUCAAACCCCAGUACUACCA
rnacentral:tRNA from 1 species